AGCCGAUGCCUCUCCGGUUGGAAUGAGCGACAGGAGCAGCUUUCUUUCACACUGAAGAAUGGGGGAGAAGAGCGAGGAGUCGUUGGCUUUCGCUGUCCGGGUCUUCACUCUGCGGGAGGAGGAGGUGAGCUCCGAGGAGGAUCACAUGGACACACAUGAGGAGGAGGCAAGCGGGGAGCAGCAGGUCAGUGUGUGCAGACAGAGAGCAGAUCAGGAGCUCACUCUGCUGCUCACCACAGGCCUGGAGGCUCAGCAGCUCACUGUGCGUGAUGCCAACAGAGCAUCAGUCUUCCACUUCACCGUGUCCAAGGAGAUGGACUGCUGCCAGGUCGGAGGACAGUCCUUCCUGGUCACAGUCGGAGAGCUGAGUCUUCUGUUGCAGUUCAAAACUCCAACUGACAUGAAGAGCUUCCAGCAGGUAUUAAAGACGGGUGGCGAUGAAGAGACAAGGAAAGGUUGCCCGGAAGGGCAUGAAAGAGGAAACAAGGAUGCGGAGAAACAUUCGAGGAGACAUCCGACUGUGUUUGAAAAAUGGACGACACAGGGCUACGAGUUCCACAACUGUGUGUCCCAGCAGCAGAGCCUGCUUCAGGACUACCUGAGGACCGGUACCUACCACAGAGCCAUUCUACUCAAUGAGACCGACUUCAGAGACAAGGUGGUCCUGGAUGUGUGUUGUGGUUCUGGUAUUCUGUCUUUCUUCGCAGUCCAAGCUGGAGCCACCAGAGUGUAUGCUGUUGAGUCCAGCCCCAUGGCCAAGUUUACACAGAUCCUGGUCCAGAGUAACUGUCUGUCUGAGCAGAUCAGGGUCCUGGAAGGGGAGGUGGAGGAGGUCAGCUGUCCUGACAUGGUAGAUGUCAUCGUCUCUGAACCGAUGGGAUACAUGCUGCUCAGUGAAAGGCUCAUGGAGAGCUUCUUGCAUGCCCGAAAAUGGCUCAAACCCAAUGGUCUGAUGUUUCCCUCCUACGGCGAUAUUCAUCUGGCUCCCUUCAGUGACGAACAGCUCUACUUCGAACACUACACACGGGCCACUUUCUGGCAGCAGAAAAGCUUCUUUGGAGUUAACCUGAGUGCUCUUUACACAGCCGCAGUGGAUGAGUUCUUCAAGCAGCCUAUCGUGGACACAUUUGAUGUGCAGAUCCUGAUGGCCAGGUCUGUCAAGCACUGCAUCAACUUCAUGGAGGCUAAAGAAGAAGACUUACACAGAAUGGAGAUUCCCUUUGAGUUUACACUGCUGCAGUCUGGUCUGUGCCAUGGACUUGCCUUCUGGUUUGAUGUGGCCUAUUUGGGAUCCAAGUCAACAGUGUGGCUCUCCACAGCUCCCACAGAGCCUGUGACCCGCUGGCAUCAGGUCAGAUGUUUGCUUCAGACGCCGCUGUUCGCCAAGCUGGGACAAACUCUGUCAGGGACGGUCCUACUGGCCGCUAACAACAGGCAGAGCUAUGAUAUCCACAUCACCGCCACAGUCGACCAAUCGGGCUUUAGGUCCGGAAAUGUCCUGGACCUCAAGAACCCUUUCUUCAGGGUAGCAUCUUGGUAGAGAGCUCUGGGCCGCUGGUACCCAGGAGAUUCAGGGAGGAUGGCCUGCCUCCUCCAGGAUGCAGAGUGAGGAGGUUAGAGGAACGCCAUAAGGAAUCUUCAGAUAUCACAUACACUCCCACGCACCUCAAGUUUCUACUUUUUCUCAACAACCAUCACUGCUGAAUGUGAAGCCAAGGUUGAAUUUGCUGAGUUGACAUCCAUUUAAUCUAAGCUUCGGAUUCUAUAUCAGUGUCUAUUCAUACACAGAGAUCUGUACGAGGACAAUGGCAACUAAAAAUCAUUUCUAUACCAGCAGUAUUUUGUAUUCUGUAAUAAAAUUUCCCCU